rnacentral:lncRNA from 1 species
ACAGCGUUGUUAGGAGGGGGAGACACCAGAGCACCAACUUCUCUCACUUAAACCUUAUGACAACCUUAAGAAGUAGGCAGCAUGAUCCCCUUCUUGGAAAUGCAGAAAGAGAGAAUGGGGGAGAUUGAGAGGCUUGCAGAAUGUGACAUCAUUAGGGAGAACAGUGGUUGAGGUCCAGCAGCUCCUGCAGAUGGGUGGUGGUGGAAGGAGGAGAGAAUGGGCCACAGGCAGGCCAAGGGCAAGCUUAGCAGCACUCAACAUCCUCCAUGAACUCAACAGAAGUCAAGAAUGCAGGCAGCUCAUGAUGAAGACCUGCAGCGGCCCAGGUUUACCAAGCUCAUUCACAAUUGCAGUUGGAGAAUUCGUCUUUGGUCAUUUUCUACUUUGGAAAUACGGUACAACUGGUCAGGGAGAACCAAUGGCAGACAUGUGCUAUAUCCCAACACACCUUGACUCUUGCUCUCACCGGAAGCUCAGCUUAGGGAAAGGAGAUCUUAAUAGGAGACAGAAGACCCGGACGCUGGUUUUGAUUGUGCCCUUCUCCAGCUGUGUGGCCUUGAGCAGCUGGUAUGUGGCAACGACCUGACUUCAACCAGGAAGACAAGGUUGAUGACCUAAGGAAUAGCACUGUAGCAAAUGGAAGGAUCCCUGAGUGACUGUGUGGAGCAGAGCCCUCCUACCAGCCUGGACUAGCCAACAUAAGAUUAAGAUAUUUUUUACAUAAAGCAUACUGCAUGGGUGUCCUACUGGUGAUGGAAAAAGAAAUGAAAGCAUCUCUCAAAAGGGUCAAACCAAGGCCAGGUUUUAUUUGGUGUUUGAGAAAACCUGGAUUAUUUGGGUCAGGAGAAAAUUUUGGACUUCCUGCUAAUCACAGGAUUUCAACAGCAAGCGUCUUCAAAUCAUGUGUGACAUCCCCUGGCUGAUAAGAGCCUUCCCACCUCAUCUCAAGGAAGGCAACACCUUUCAUAACUACUAGAAUGACUACACUUGCCUCACUAAAUUGUAGUUGUUGAACCACAAACUUGAUUCCUACUUCUGUAAAAAUAAAUCAGAAUUAAAA